AGUCGAACGGAAGCAAAGAUUUCGGUUUUUGCUUUAGUGGCGAACGGGUGAGUAACGCGUGAGGAACCUGCCUUUCAGUGGGGGACAACAGUUGGAAACGACUGCUAAUACCGCAUAAUGCUUUUGAGUGGCAUCACUUAAAAGCCAAAGAUUUAUUGCUGAAAGAUGGCCUCGCGUCUGAUUAGCUAGUUGGCGGGGUAACGGCCCACCAAGGCGACGAUCAGUAGCCGGUCUGAGAGGAUGAACGGCCACAUUGGGACUGAGAUACGGCCCAGACUCCUACGGGAGGCAGCAGUGGGGAAUAUUGGGCAAUGGGGGAAACCCUGACCCAGCAACGCCGCGUGAAGGAAGAAGGCCUUCGGGUUGUAAACUUCUUUUACCAGGGGCGAAAGAAAUGACGGUACCUGGAGAAAAAGCAACGGCUAACUACGUGCCAGCAGCCGCGGUAAUACGUAGGUUGCGAGCGUUGUCCGGAUUUACUGGGUGUAAAGGGCGUGUAGGCGGAGAUGCAAGUUGGGAGUGAAAUCCAUGGGCUCAACCCAUGAACUGCUUCCAAAACUGUAUCCCUUGAGUAUCGGAGAGGC
rnacentral:rRNA from 1 species